CCUACGGGAGGCUGCAGUGGGGAAUAUUGGGCAAUGGGCGCACGCCUGACCCAGCAACGCCGCGUGAAGGAAGAAGGCUUUCGGGUUGUAAACUUCUUUUAAGAGGGAAGAGCAGAAGACGGUACCUCUUGAAUAAGCCACGGCUAACUACGUGCCAGCAGCCGCGGUAAUACGUAGGUGGCAAGCGUUGUCCGGCAUUACUGGGGGUAAAGGGCGUGCAGCCGGGAAGACAAGUCAGAUGUGAAAUCCCGGGGGUCAACCGCGGAACUGCAUUUGAAACUGUUUUUCUUGAGUACGGGAGAGGUCAGCGGAAUGCGUGGUGUAGCGGUGAAAGGCGGAGAUAUAAGGAAGAACACCAGUGGCGAAGGCGGAUGACUGGAGGGCAACUGACGGUGAGGCGCGAAAGCGUGGGGAGCAAACAGGAUUAGAUACCCUGGUAGUC
rnacentral:rRNA from 1 species